rnacentral:rRNA from 1 species
GCCUACGGGAGGCAGCAGUGGGGAAUAUUGCACAAUGGGGGAAACCCUGAUGCAGCGACGCCGCGUGAGUGAAGAAGUAUCUCGGUACGUAAAGCUCUAUCAGCAGGGAAGAAAAAAAGUCUUUGGCUUUGGACGGUACCUGACUAAGAAGCCCCGGCUAACUACGUGCCAGCAGCCGCGGUAAUACGUAGGGGGCAAGCGUUAUCCGGAUUUACUGGGUGUAAAGGGAGCGUAGACGGCAGCGCAAGUCUGGAGUGAAAUGCUGGGGCUCAACCCCGGAACUGCUUCGGAAACUGUGCAGCUAG